rnacentral:rRNA from 1 species
UACAGAGGGUGCGAGCGUUAAUCGGAAUUACUGGGCGUAAAGCGUGCGUAGACGGUUAUUUAAGUCGGGUGUGAAAGCCCCGGGCUCAACCUGGGAAUUGCAUUCGAGACUGGCGGGCUAGAGUAUGGCAGAGGGGGGUAGAAUUCCACGUGUAGCAGUGAAAUGCGUAGAGAUGUGGAGGAAUACCGAUGGCGAAGGCAGCCCCCUGGGCCAAUACUGACGCUCAUGCACGAAAGCGUGGGGAGCAAACAGG